rnacentral:misc_RNA from 1 species
GAUGAAGAACGUAGCGAAAUGCGAUAAGUAAUGUGAAUUGCAGAAUUCAGUGAAUCAUCGAAUCUUUGAACGCACAUUGCGCCCGCCAGUAUUCUGGCGGGCAUGCCUGUCCGAGCGUCAUUUCAACCAUCAAGCCCCCGGGCUUGUGUUGGGGACCUGCGGCUGCCCGCAGGCCCUGAAAACCAGUGGCGGGCUCGCUGUCACACCGAGCGUAGUAGCAAUCACCUCGCUCAGGGCGUGCUGCGGGUUCCGGCCGUUAAACAGCCUUACAAAACCCAAGGUUGACCUCGGAUCAGGUAGGAAGACCCGCCGAACUUAAGCAUAUCAAUAAGCGGAGGA